CUCAUUUCAUUUCUACAACUCUGAGUUUUAAAAGGUAAAAAUCUAGCAAAGUUAAAGAGCUCACUUAAAGUCAUGCAAGAAAGAAAAAAAUAGUAGGAGCUACCAUAAGCUUCCUUAAGCUAUUCUGUUCAUUGUUAAGCAGGGUGCUCAUGCAUUAUGUACAUUAUCUCAUUUAAUCCUCACUUGACCCUACUAGGUAGGCAGUUUAUCUCCAGUCUUCAGAUGAAGAAACAGCCUUAAAGAAAUUAAGCAACUACUGACUGUAAAAGAGCAGGGAUUUAACCCUACAUCUAUCGAGUUCCAAAGAAUAGGUACUUUCUGCUUUGAAGUUUGUAAAAAUUACAAGCCAACUUUGAACUUUCAGUAGAGCAUGGACAUCAUUUGUCAAUGGAUGAACUUGAUUAGAUUCAGAAUAGGAGGAAAUGAUGAGGACUUAGGAAAGACUGUGUUGGGGAAGAAUUUAUGUUGUGACUCUACCAAAUUAAGGCAAUGCUGACUUUUACCUGGUUUCAUUUGAAAAGGAAAACAACCAAUUUACUUCACAAAGGAAAAUCAAUGUAAAAUCUUCUCAUCGAUACCUGUGAUACUCUGACAGAGGUUUUAAUACUACUGCAACACACUCCCACAUUUGACUUAAAAUGUAAGUGAGAGCAUUAAUGUCCAGCUUCAGAAAAUUGGUGGGAAUUGGGUGAUCAUUUCUAGAUAAAUACUUCCCUUAGAUAUAGAUCAAUGCAUUGAUGCAAAUGAGGAGGAUUCUGUGUGCACCUUCCAAGGAUCUGGAUCCUUGUUGGUGUAGGGGUAUAACUUGUUGGGCAGGGUGUAACAAAUUCGUUUCAUUGGAGGCUCAGUCAAUGUUGACCUCCUCUUCUCUGCAUCUG
rnacentral:lncRNA from 10 species